rnacentral:rRNA from 1 species
UACAGAGGGGGCAAGCGUUGUUCGGAAUUACUGGGCGUAAAGGGCGCGUAGGCGGCCUUCUAAGUCGAACGUGAAAUCCCCGGGCUCAACUCGGGAACUGCGUCCGAUACUGGCGGGCUUGAAUCCGGGAGAGGGAUGCGGAAUUCCAGGUGUAGCGGUGAAAUGCGUAGAUAUCUGGAGGAACACCGGUGGCGAAGGCGGCAUCCUGGACCGGCAUUGACGCUGAGGCGCGAAAGCUAGGGGAGCAAACGGG